UGCUGGGUUGUUAUCUGAUAUCCCCUGCUGCUCUUCUCUUCUCUGUAGACAGCCAGUCUGUGGAAUUUUCCAUUCUGCUCCUUGGGCCCCCUCCUCAGGGAUUUCUCCUUAUGGCUGAUUCCAGAAGGUUUAAUAGCUUCCAAACUCAAUUCCUGCUCUGGUUUGCAUUCAAACACUGCAGACACAAUGUCCCACUUUUUAUCUAGGCUGUUCAAAACUAGGAGCACUUUCUGAGAUUCAGGAAUCCUCAUCCCACAUCGUUCUAAUUCCAC